UGGGGAAUAUUGCACAAUGGGCGCAAGCCUGAUGCAGCCAUGCCGCGUGUAUGAAGAAGGCCUUCGGGUUGUAAAGUACUUUCAGCGGGGAGGAAGGGAGUAAAGUUAAUACCUUUGCUCAUUGACGUUACCCGCAGAAGAAGCACCGGCUAACUCCGUGCCAGCAGCCGCGGUAAUACGGAGGGUGCAAGCGUUAAUCGGAAUUACUGGGCGUAAAGCGCACGCAGGCGGUUUGUUAAGUCAGAUGUGAAAUCCUCGGGCUCAACCUGGGAACUGCAUCUGAUACUGGCAAGCUUGAGUCUCGUAGAGGGGGGUAGAAUUCCAGGUGUAGCGGUGAAAUGCGUAGAGAUCUGGAGGAAUACCGGUGGCGAAGGCGGACCCCUCGACGAAGACCGACGCUCAGGUGCGAAAGCGUGGGGAGCAAACAGG
rnacentral:rRNA from 1 species